UGCACUUGGUGAAGCUGGACUUCUAAGGUCCCUGAGUGAAACCAUGGCCUCACAAGCCUUUUCCAAAGACUGACCUCUCAGAGAAACACGUACUUAAGAUGGUGCAGCAUUGACCAGUUCAGUCUGUGGCAUCAGGGUCCAAUGUAGUCCAAUGUUUCUGCGGCGCUUUUUAAGCAUUUGUCAAGCCAGAGUUGCAAAAAACUGAUGUUUAGAGGAAAUUUGCAGCAUAUGCAAUGUGUUUCCAUCAUCUGUCCUCAAAUGCAAAGGUGUCCAACUAGAGGCGUUUGAUGGAGGAGACGACUGGGCACUGAUCACCCAGCCGUCUUCAACAUCUUUUCAGCCAAUGGUGUGUACCAGCAAGGGUAACGAGUGGAGAGUCUGGAGAGACAAAAAGAGAAUAAAAACUGGAAAUCAAAACAUACAUUUCAAAACAUCAAUCAAAAAUCAAAAAUAAUAACUUAACAUCAGAAGUAUUAUGCUCCCUACAACAGAAGCAUAACUGGACUUCACUGGAACAGAUAAUACUAUCACAAAGUCUUGAGGAUUCAUGUCUCCAGGUCUCCGUACGGAUGUGUCUGAGCUGAGGGUGGUUCUUCUUGAGAACUGCUGGAUGGAGAUGCUCGGCAGGAAACCUCUUAGUGUGGACAUAUUCAACAUUAGCGCAGAGUCACUGUCAUCAACAAAAAGUAGUGCACGACUUUGACAAUGUUAACGGCUCAAAAUGGUUCUGUUUAGCUGUGCAUAUGACUGAAAU